AGUUUCGAGGUAGUGACGAGAAAUAACAAUACAGGGCAUUUUAUGCUCUGUAAUUGGAAUGAUGGGAAUGUAAAACCCUUCCAGAGUAACAAUUGGAGGGCAAGUCUGGUGCCAGCAGCCGCGGUAAUUCCAGCUCCAAUAGUGUAUAUUAGAGUUGUUGCAGUUAAAAAGCUCGUAGUUGGAUUUCUGUCGUGGUCAUCCGGCUCCGCCCGUAUGGGUGUGCGCCUGGUUUGCCCUCGGCUUUCUUCCGGUAGCCUUCCGCGCUUCACUGCGUGUGUUGGUGUUCUGGAACUUUUACUUUGAGAAAAAUAGAGUGUUUCAAGCAGGCUUGUCGCCCUGAAUACUUCAGCAUGGAAUAAUAAGAUAGGACCUUGGUUCUAUUUUGUUGGUUUCUAGGACCAAGGUAAUGGUUAAUAGG
rnacentral:rRNA from 1 species